UACGGAGGGUGCGAGCGUUAUUCGGAAUUAUUGGGCGUAAAGGGCGCGCAGGCGGCCUUGUCAGUCAGAUGUGAAAGCCCGGGGCUUAACCUCGGAAGUGCAUUUGAUACUGCAGGGCUUGAGUAUGGGAGAGGGAAGUGGAAUUCCUGGUGUAGAGGUGAAAUUCGUAGAUAUCAGGAGGAACACCGGUGGCGAAGGCGACUUCCUGGACCAAUACUGACGCUGAGGCGCGAAGGCGUGGGGAGCAAACAGG
rnacentral:rRNA from 1 species